UACGUAGGGUGCAGGCGUUAAUCGGAAUUACUGGGCGUAAAGCGUGCGCAGGCGGUCUUUUAAGUCAGAUGUGAAAUCCCCGGGCUUAACCUGGGAACUGCGUUUGAAACUGGAAGGCUUGAGUGUGGCAGAGGGGGGUGGAAUUCCACGUGUAGCAGUGAAAUGCGUAGAUAUGUGGAGGAACACCGAUGGCGAAGGCAGCCCCCUGGGCUAACACUGACGCCUCAUGCACGAAAGCGUGGGGAGCAAACAGG
rnacentral:rRNA from 1 species